rnacentral:rRNA from 1 species
UAUAAACGAUAAACCACGUAAAAUCUUUCUUAUUCUUGUAAAGUUAGUAUACCUUCAUUACAGAUAAUUUUGAUUGAUUAAUUAUUGUAAUUGGUUCAUAAACCAAGUAAAUUAGAUCAAGGUGCUGCAGAUGGAUAAGUAAAAAUGGGUUACAAUGGUUUUUAACGUUAAGCGGAGUGUGUUCAGGAUGGAUAUAUGAAGAUGGAUUCAAUUGUAAUUUUAACUUUAAUAAGGUAAAGUGGUAUUAG